AUGGUGAUCGAUCAGCGGUUACCUCGAGCACUGUGGCCCGUGGGAAGGGUCAAGAAGACUAUCAUGAGCGCAGACGGGAAGGUGAGAACUGCUGAGGUUCAAGUGGACGACAGGACCUACACAAGACCGGUGGCCAAACUCAUUGAGCUACCAGCUAUCCCAGAGGAUACUCCGACAAUGUCCCCAGCGGACACUGAGCCUUCAAGGAGCUGAUUCGCACAGCGAAUCAGGGGGCGGCUGUGCAAAAGGCUCAGAGUAUGGACAGUGAAGACCUAACCUGUUGCUAGGCAACGCCCUUUUGUUUACAGCUCGCGCUUGUCGCGGUUAAAUUUUGUGCAAAGUUAAUCAGUUUAACGGUCAUUUCUAGCGAGUUAAGUUUCCUUUGUGUGCGUCAAUAAACGGCAAACCACACAUACACACAUGCACACCCACCUGGUUUAAACCUAAGAGGAGAACAGAGAUUGCCUGUGCCUGUGUAUUUGCAUUCCAUUUAUAAUAAACCCCCAAAAGAA